UAAACUCUAGGUGGGAAAGGUGUGAUGAUUAAAAGGUGAUUUUAUUUGUUUGACCGAGAACUACGGACUUAUCCUGAAGUAGGAAAUACUGUACUUAGUUCUACGAUAUUUAGAACUAACUGAUAACCUUUGUAAACUGGCUAAAGGGGAUUUUAGAGAAUAUUGGAUAUGGGCCGGAGAAGAUUGUUAUUUUUAGACACAAAUAUAAACAUAGUACAUGUGUACAUGUAUAAUACGAUUUGAUUAAGACAACAUGACGAGCGCUGCCUAACAUUGCACCCUCCCCGAAAAGGCAUUCGGACCCAGAAUGAGUAUGAAAAGACAUAUACAUUUGCUCUAUCCAGUCUUUCCAUGGAGCCCCGGCCGGGAAGAUUUCCAUGACAAUAUCUGCUAGAAAAGGGGUAUUGCCUUGUUCGUUGCCAUCAGUACAGAAGCAGGAGUCAGGUAUGUGGUGCCGAAACCAUACAGAGAUGUAAUUAGUAAGAGGAUUUUGUCCGGGUGGAUGACACACGUCUGACCAGGAAUCCUCAACAAAAGUGGCGGAUGCAGUUGGUGUACAGAGCCAAAGCAAGAAACCAAAUUAAAUGGCGGAUGCAUAACAACUAAACAGGUCGUUGUUGUACGUUUUCUUCGUAAUGGAGGCGUUCAUGGGCAUCAUCAGCUCUCAGAAAAACUGAAAAUGGGCUUGCCAAAUUAAUGGAGAUACAUUCAUGGAUUCUGAGUCUGGAGCUGAUUCAUCAACAAAUUUUAUGGUUAAAGGUUUCCCCAGGGCAAGGUCGAUAGGCAAAUUCAUCUCCCGACCAAACAUCAUCAGUGACGGGGUGAAACCAGUGCUGCUGUGUAGACUUGAGUUGUAGGCCAUCACAAGUAAAGGUCAAUUUGACGGAAUGCGGUCCAAGAAUAAAGAUCAUAACUAUCCGGAUAAAGGUCAUUGGGUUCAAAGUAUUGAAUCCCGUGGAGCGAUCCCGUCACAAGUUUUGGGCCCGUUGUGACAAGAUGGUCAGUC